GCCACCAGAGAAGAAAAGUAACCAGCUCUGCUCCUUGCCUGCGUAUUCUGAGGAAAUGGGUCCCUAUAUCCUCACACAGCUCUGCCAUGACUGGGACACAAUGAACAUGGAAAGAAUUCAGAGAGUGCUCUUCUCCCAUGGAAUGAACAACCAUCCUACAAUCCCAGGACAGCAGGCAAUGGAUGCCCAGAAAGGAAGAUCUGCACAAGGACAAGAUGCCAGAACUACUGAGACCAACGGAGUUAAGCAAGGCUCAAUUCAUCCCCUUUGAGGCCUUCCGCCCCCUCAACAAAAGCCUUGGGAAAGCUCAAAUACAGGCUUGAUCUUUAGGUACAAUAUGUGUCAAGGCCACAGAGUGCAAGAUUGCAAUUUAAGGUGCUUUGAAUACACAACAGAUUUCCCAGAUGGGAAUUUCCUACAUUAUUUUUUUUAAUUUUCCAUUUCCUAACAUUCAAAUGCCAAAGAAUACAUCCAAGCAUAUUCAACUUUGAAGAAAACAGUUAAGCAAGGACUAAACUAAGAAAGAACACUCAGCCAUCUGCAUCACAGCCAUUACAUUAACUCCUCUGAGAGAUGAUCUUUUGAAUCCAAGAACAAUUUGUUUUUUCAAAGUCACUGGUGAUUAUCAGAGAAAAAAAUAAUAAUUGUUGGGAAAAUCUUGGUUUAUUCUCUGACCGACAUAACAUUUAACUCCAUCCUAAGCUCUCUGCAGCAUGAUACAUUGCAAGAUGAUGGUGUGUUGUUAUGUGAGGGUCAGCUUCAAGGGCCAAGAAAAAAUAGUUACCCAGAACAUGAGUUCAAAGGAAAGGCAAGAUGCAUUUUUGGAAUGGAAUGACUGGUGGGCAUACAGAAUCAGGAUUAACCUCUGGCAAUAGAAUGAGAUUUAUUUUUAUGCGCAAACUAAUUUUAUGUGUAAGUUUGAAUAAGAAACAUCUCUUCAGACUGUUCUGCCCUUGAUUUUUAGAGAAGUAUUAAAAAAAAAAAGUAUAUUCAAGAAACCCUACAGAUAUGCAGGUAAAACCUAAACUAACCACAAGCUACCUCAGUUUCCUUUUCUUUCCUGCAUUAUUCUUCAGGAGCCAGGAGAUAUUGUAACAACUUCAUCAACAGAAUGCUUCUGCAAUUUCAGGGCCACGUUGUUCAGGUUUACCAACCAGGUUUUGACAAAAUAGUCACUGAGGUGGUCAAAAUGGUCAAAAGGGAUUCUCUGUCACUCUGUGUGCCUCUGUCAGCAUAGUACUUGUUACUGCAUAACUCUGUGUGGCAAAAAUUGAUGAUAGGAAGAAGAUCCCUCAAUCUAUAUGAAAGAAAGGAAAGAAAACACAGGUGAAUGUGCUCAGAAAUAGUAUUAGAGAAGAAAAAGGAUUUACUCUUCUUAGAGUGUUUCUAGUUUGUUUGGUGGAUUUUUUUUUUAAUUUUUUUUUAAUUGUAGUGCAGCUCAUUUAAAAUAGCCAAAAAUGUCAUUCUCAGGGUGAAGUAAAACUGAAAUCCUGAAGAGUUCCUCCGAUCUUGGCACAUCAGUGAAAGCAGUUUGAAAUGUCUGCCUCCAUUAGACGUUUUGCUUGGGUAACUUCCACUAGAGAUUAAGUCUUAGUGCUUUAUUUCCAUUAGAAUGUCCUUUGAAUAGAGUUUUAUAAAAGUUUAAAUGAAAUGAGAAAACAUUUUGGUCAG